rnacentral:lncRNA from 1 species
GACCUUAUUAGAGAGGGAACAUUCAAUCCGCUCCGCUUGAUCUUUUUUUAAAAAGGCAAAUUACUCACAGGAGUUGGCCCUCCAAUGGCUGUGAGUGACGGCUUCGCAGCUGAAGCCACUCCAGGGCGGUGGCUGUGCUGCCGGCUGCGGAAAACCAACAAACGGAAGCCUGAGACGAGCUUGGAAGGUCGAGGAGGGCUUCCUGUAGGAAGUGAGUCUUUAAGAGGAAAGGAUAGGGGCGCCCGGGGGCUCAGCGGUGGGGCGUCUGCCUUGGGCUCCGGGCGCGACCCUGGGGUCCUGGGAUCGAGUCCUGCGUCGGGCUCCCUGCGUGGAGCCUGCUUCUCCCUCUGCCUGUGUCUCUGCUUCUCUCUCUCUCUCUCUCUUUCUGUCUCUUGUGAAUAAAUGAAUAGAAAUAAAAAAAUUUAUAAAAGACGGGAAGGCUCAUGUGGUUCUGUCUUGUGUGUGUUUUCUUAGCAAACAACGGAGCCAAAGGGUUUGACCGGGUUUGUCCUGUUUGACCCCGUGCCGCAGCCAGGGCCACUUGCCUCCUCCCCAGGACUCGGUCACAGCCCCACGUUGUUGCGUUCCGGGCGGUUCUGACCUCCGCUUAAGCACCAGACGCCAUCAGCGUCCACGGCGCUAGGAAGCCGCGCAGGGGAAGGUGCUUGGGGCAGGCGCUUGACCUAAUCCAGUUCCAGGGACGAGCCCGGUGGACCCGGGGUGCCCAGCAGGGGACGGAGAGGCCUAGGCCGGGGGGCAGCAGCUAUGGUGACACUUGGGGAGUCCCACACGUGGGCCCCGGGCCGGCCCUGCCGGGGUGGGCGGGUCUCCCCACGACUGCAGGAAGGCGCUGCGCUGCCAUUUCGCAGAUGGGACCAGCGGGGCCGGGGGGUUGGCUGACCGUCGGGCGUCACAGAGCGGAGAGGACGGCGCGGCCGGGGCGGCGGGAUGCCAGGCGGGACCAGGGCCUGUGGGGAGCAGAGAUCCUUUGUCCUUUGUGGAACCAAGGACAGGGCUCCGCCUCCGUGGGGUGCAGGCCCCAGACCCGAACCAGACCUCCCAGACUCCCUUGCAGCGGCUCUAGGCGGGAGCGGCUCUCCAAUGACCUGGCCGUGCUCGGGCCCGGUGACCCCCCGGCAGCCCAUUGGGGGACCAGCCGACCCGGCCCCAGAAACGAGGGUCCUGGUCUCCGGGGUGCAGCCCUGCCCCACGGCGUGUUCUUGGGCCCACGGAGGGUCUAGCUCUGCGGCACCAGGUUGG